GAUUCUGCGCUGCUAUGAGGCAAACAGAAACGCUUCCUGACGCCCGCUGCCUACCUGAAGCUCAGAAUGCACCCCAAGCGUUGAAAAAUCACGAGCCCAAAAUAGAAAACGAAAUGUUACUGCUUUAAUAUUUAUAUGUUUGGACUAACCUUAUAAAUUUCCAGUGCUCAAAUGCGCAGUGUCACGCCAAAGGAAUACUUCACAUUUUCUCUCCAACCGUCAAUACUGUUGUUUAAUUAUUUCAGGUACAGUUAGAAAUGUCACUUUAAAUGAAAGCUGGUGGGUUAUCCAGUGUUGAGCGUUCCGUGGACUAAAUAAGCAGAACUAAAUGCCACAAGACGACAACAAAAGAACAAACCACACUGAUUACUGCCACAAUAUUAAUUACUGUAUCAGCAACAGGAAUACGGUUUUUUUUUAUUUUGAAAGCACUUAGCUACAAGAGGCACAUAUGCUUUCCCCAAAACAAGCAUUAGUUGUGAAACGUGCUUAUUUUUGCCAGCUAUUUAACUCUUUAACGGCAGAGGAGCUGUACCUGAUGAAGAAAAAAUCUCAGCAAUAUAAAUGCCACAAAGCAUAAUAGUAGUACAGUGGUACCUCAGUUUAAGUACUUAAUUCGUUCCGGAGGUCCGUACUUAACCUGAAACUGUUCUUAACCUGAAGCACAAAUUUUGGUUAAUGGGGCCUCCUGCUGCCGCUUUGCCGCCGGAGCACGAUUUCUGUUCUCAUCCUGAAGCAAAGUUCUUAACCUGAAGCACUAUUUCUGGGUUAGCGGAGUCUGUAACCUGAAGCAUAUGUAACCUGAGGUACGACUGUACAGCUUAUCAAGACAAGCAGCUGGUUCAUCUGUCACAGAAGUCACCCUUAGGGAAUCAACAAGGCUUCAAUUUGUGGUUUCCUCCCCUAAAAUAAUCCAAAAUAACUGAUCAAUUGUGUUUAGCUUCUGUGCAAUGGAAUAGUGCAAGUGUGAAAAUUAAUUAAGCAAUUAAGACAGAAGAGAACAUUGUUAAUCACAAACUUCCAACAGUGAAACCAUACCCUGUCUUAUCUUUCCAAAGCUAAAAAGCAAUUUAAAUUAAAAUAUUUAAAGAGUG